GCUUACGGCCAUACCAGCCUGGGUACGCCCGAUCUCGUCUGAUCUCGGAAGCUAAGCAGGGUCGGGCCUGGUUAGUACUUUGAUGGGAGACUGCCUGGGAAUACCAGGUGCUGUAAGCA
rnacentral:rRNA from 1 species